UACAACAGUUAGACCUACAAUAAAAAUA
rnacentral:piRNA from 1 species